GACGAACGCUGGCGGCGUGCUUAACACAUGCAAGUCGAACGGUAAGGCCCUUCGGGGUACACGAGUGGCGAACGGGUGAGUAACACGUGGGUGAUCUGCCCUGCACUUCGGGAUAAGCCUGGGAAACUGGGUCUAAUACCGGAUAGGACCACUGCCUGCAUGGGUGGUGGUGGAAAGCUUUUGCGGUGUGGGAUGGGCCCGCGGCCUAUCAGCUUGUUGGUGGGGUGAGGGCCCAGCAAGGCGACGACGGGUAGCCGGCCUGGGAGGGUGACCGGCCACACUGGGACUGGGAUACGGCACAGACUCCGACGGGAGGCAGCAGUGGGGAAUAUUGCACAAUGGGCGCAAGCCUGAUGCAGCGACGCCGCGUGGGGGAUGACGGCCUUCGGGUUGUAAACCUCUUUCAGCACCGACGAAGCGCAAGUGACGGUAGGUGCAGAAGAAGGACCGGCCAACUACGUGCCAGCCGCCGCCGUAA
rnacentral:rRNA from 1 species